GACGAACGCUGGCGGCGUGCUUAACACAUGCAAGUCGAACGGAAAGGCCCUGCUUUUGUGGGGUGCUCGAGUGGCGAACGGGUGAGUAACACGUGAGUAACCUGCCCUUGACUUUGGGAUAACUUCAGGAAACUGGGGCUAAUACCGGAUAGGAGCUCCUGCUGCAUGGUGGGGGUUGGAAAGUUUCGGCGGUUGGGGAUGGACUCGCGGCUUAUCAGCUUGUUGGUGGGGUAGAGGCUUACCAAGGCUUUGACGGGUAGCCGGCCUGAGAGGGUGACCGGCCACAUUGGGACUGAGAUACGGCCCAGACUCCUACGGGAGGCAGCAGUGGGGAAUAUUGCACAAUGGGCGGAAGCCUGAUGCAGCAACGCCGCGUGCGGGAUGGCGGCCUUCGGGUUGUAAACCGCUUUCGCCUGUGACGAAGCGUGAGUGACGGUAAUGGGUAAAGAAGCACCGGCUAACUACGUG
rnacentral:rRNA from 1 species